AUGUUUGGCACCGUGCAGGAAACCAUUCAGCCAUUUCCUGCCAGGAUGUUCACCAAAAUCCUCCUAGCUGCAGCUCCUCGGUUGAAAACUCAGCGUGGUCCCCGUAGCAUCCCACUGCCCCCUCGUGGCUGGUGAGCAGACAGGUGAGACCCUCCUCAGCAGCGAAGGGAGUGGCACUGUCCUUACACAACAGGAGGGCCAGCUUGAUCAUGGGAUACCUCCUUGACCCAGUGGAGGAUGAUGGCUGUCUUCUCUGGUGAACAACCGGUCCCACCCCCUGCAGGACACCAUCCCAGUUAUGGGCUGGUGUCAGUACUGGAUCAGUCUGACAGACUGAUCCAGUGUCUGAAGGAAAGGUAUCGCAGGUCAACUGAACAACCAGCUCUGCUCCCAGUAGAACUACACGCACGCAUUAUGGACUAACUCUGGUUUAACUCUCUUAACUUUGCAAUAUUCAUUGAGUCUGUGCAAUACAAUAAUUCAUUUGCAAUCCAUUCACUAUGUAUGUUCUCACUGCAUAUAUUGUCCUUG